AGCAACGGGGUUUUGUCCCGCUAUUCGGAGGGUUGAAUCCUUCCGUCCCAG
rnacentral:tRNA from 1 species